UUAUCUUAUGACCAAAUAAAUGACUAAAUAAAUUAAGUUUGCAAUUGAUAAAUAUAGUUGGACGCUCUAUUUAUGUUUAGACUGAGUAAAUUUAUUGAAUGAUUUGUCUUAAUCAUAUAUGAAUUUACUGAUGUAGUUUCACUACAUGGAGCUGGAUCACAUAUGAGAUUUAAUUAACCUUGAAAUGACUGUCAGACUUAUUAAAUCUCAUAAGUAUUGAUUUUAUUGCAAUCUUAAUCUUGAGUUAAUUAUAGUUUCAUAUUUGUGAUUGUCAUUUCAUUUGAGUUACCAAUGGGCGCGAUAUACAUUUGUAGUCAAGAUUACACAGUAUCUUGGUGGAAGCAAUUAUGAGCAGUGAGAUUAUAAAUUAACAAUAUAGAAUUUGUAUAACACAUCUUUUGAUGGGUUUUCGGCACUUGAUUAUAGAAUUCUCUGGCCAGAGUGUGUCAACAUAAUUAGUAUGUUGAAAAUGAUCAUUAGAGAAAACCAGUAAGUAUCAAGGAACAAGAUGUAAUUAAAUCGAUUGGACAGUUGAGAUAUCGAUUUAAUUAACGAUGUGGUACAAAUGAUUAUGCAGUAAAGAAAUCAAUGUGGCAUAGGUCGAAUUAUUAUUCGAGUACAUUAUCCUAGAUAGCAUACAAUUAUGGAGGUCAAUUCCAAUUUUUUAGUGGAGUAGAUUUGAAAUUAAAUAAUUGGGUUAGUUUAAUUACAGGCCUAAUUAUUGUAGCCACUAUUGUAUGUACCCAUAUGAUCCAUGGAUUAGCUCAUUUAAUUGACUGCGCCGCUACUAGAUUAAUAAGCAAGAUAACUAGCUAUUUGGGUUAAAAGCCUAAAUAUAUUUUUUAGUGGGAGGCUCCAUAUAAUGUACUUGUGUCUAAGGAGUUUUGUGUUAUUUUAUAAGGUGGGCCCCUAUGACAAGAGGAAGUAACGUUACUUUUGAUUUAUUAUUUUUUAAUUUAAAUCAAAUUUGAUUUAAUAGAAUUAAAAAAUAUAAAAAUAUGGAGCCUAGGGUUUCCACUAGAUAGAGAUAUAAAAUGACUUAUUUUCUCCCAAAAGAAGAGAGAAGCCACAUUAUACAGAUCAGAGAAAAAUAUUUUUUCUCUCUAAUUUUGAGAGAAAUAUUUUCUCCUGCUAGUUGCUUUUAGUGGUGAUAAAGGCGCUUACACGUCAAGUUCAGAUCAAACCUGAGUCAUAACCUGGAAGAUCAUUGGUGACGGAUCAUGACCUAACAAGUUUGGUGGUGACGGAUUGUGAUCUAGCAUGAGUAGUGGUGAUAGAUCGUGAUCUAAUAGAAGUGGUGGUGACACAUUGUGAUCUAGGAGUCUAAAUUAAUUCAACGAAAAAGCCAAAUCGGAUUGUCAAUGAUGAGCAUAAUUUAUAUACAUAUUUUACCCUUAAUUAUAUAAUUGCUAGUUAUUUUUAUUUGUUAUUUUUAAUUAAUUGAAUUAUUUUAUUGCAUAGGGAAUUAAUUGGAGAUUAUGAAUGAAAAGUACGUAAAGAAUAACAAUUGGACAGCAUUGAAGAUCAAAUCAAUUUGUGGAAGUAAUUAAGGAGAUGUGCAAGAAAUUCUGUUCAAAGAAACCAAAGCCAAUAAAUUGAAGUCUCCAUGUUCGUGCAAACAAAGAAGAAGGUUAAAGCUAAAGUGGGCAGCACAUAAAACAAAGCUUCUAAGUAAUCCUUUGAAUGGAAAGUCAAAGUAGAAUAAAGGAAGGAAAUUAAUUGCUUUUGGCUUUUAUUGUUUUCAAUUACGUGGCAAGCUUAGGGCUUUAGCUUGUAAAAGUUGGUUUAGUUAUUAGAAUCACAAUAGGAUUCGGUGGCCAAGCAAUAUAAAAGGGAGUUUUGCUUUUGAAUAAAAAAAAGAGUGCAGACGCAAUUCGGGCAGAGGAGAAUCGGCAACCAAGGUAAACUGAACAAUUUGCAACCGCAAAGGAGAACAAAAAUCAGCAGUCGGAAUUAAAUUAAAGCAAAGGCAGCCGCUUGAAUUAAUCUCUAUGAUUGGUUUUAUCAAUUCUCUUAUUUCCAAUUCAAUUAUGUUAGGCUAGAUUUUUAUUUGGUUGAGGGUGAAUUCAAAACCCUAAACAUGCUAUGCAAUUAAAUUUAAUUCUAUCAUUCAAUUUAUUUAAUUGAAAUUGUUUUUGCUCUUCUAUAAUUAAUGUUUAUGAUUUUAUUCUCGUCUUGUUUGAGUGGCCAAUUAGAUAGGACUUGAAUAAAUUCUAUUGUUAGAUUAAAAUUCUUGAUCCGUAGUUGUCUUGAUAUUUUAAUCAUUAGUAGCAGGUUGGAAUCAGUGAUUUCGAUUGGAGAACAUAACUUAGGUUAAAUAAUCCGAGCUUGUGUGUUUAUUGCCUAGAUCAACCUAAUAUCUUUCUUUGUUUAAUGCUUCCAUUAUCUUAAAUUUAAAGAGCUUGUUUUAAAUUAUUUAAUGGUUAGAGAUUAGAUUAAGAACUUAUUUUGCCUAAUGACACACUAAGGAAAGAUUGAGACUAAUAGAGCUUAUUGUUGUCUACGGUUGAUAGUUUCAAUAUAAAUUGAUGAUAGAAUUGAUAUAUUAUGUGCAUGUUUGGUGGUGGCGAAUGAUCCUUUAACCACAGUUUUCAUCAUUAUUAUUUAUUUCUCCUUUACUUAGAGUUUUCAUUAAAUUCUUGUUCGUAGUUUUAAUUUUUUUAUUUCUUACUAUUUAGUUAAAAAUUCAUAAACCCCCUUUUUAUUUAUAAUUGGCAUUUUCUUUAGUUAGAUUAAUUUAUAAUAUUACUACUAUUAUUUUAUUUUAAAUCUUGCUUUAGAGUUGAUAAUAAAUAUAACUAGCAUAGUCUCCGUGGGAUCGAUCCUUACUCGCUCUGUACUAAUUAUUUAUAUUAGUGGUAAAGUUUUAAAUUUGGUGCACCUUAACGACACUACCAAGCAAGAUAUGAUUUUCUAAAUUACGAAUUCCUAUGUAUUUUAU
rnacentral:lncRNA from 1 species